rnacentral:lncRNA from 1 species
GGCAUCGCAGAGAGCCCGUGGGACAGCGGGAAAGGGGACGGCAGGGAUAAAUGGGACCGGGGGGAUGAGCAUCCUAAUGAUGGCCCCAAGGGAAAGGGGAGCGGGGGACGGGAGGGCAAAGGGGACAAAUGGGACCAGUGGAAUGAGCGUCUCGGUGACCCCGUGGGACAGGGAACCCGGGGACAGGGAGAUAAAUGGGAUCGGGGGAAUAUGCAUCCACGUGACCCCAAGGGACAGGGGAGCAGGGGGCAAAUGGGACACUAAGACAAGACAAGAGGGUCAAAUGGGACCAGGGGAAUGGACAUAUCAAUGACCCCAUGGGGCAGGGUACCAGGGACAAGAGGACAACGGGAAUAAAUGGGACUGGGGAAACAAACAUCCCAAUGAUGGCCCUAAGGGACAGGGGACCAGGGCAUAAAUGGGACCAGUGGGAUGAGCAUAUCAGUGACCCCGUGGGACGUGGAGAUGUGGGGACAAGGGGAGCGAGCAUCCACAUGACCCCAUAGGACAGAGGAGCAGGGGACAGGGGGAACAAAUAGGAGCAGGGCAGAGAGCAUCCCAGUGACCCUAUGGGACAAGGGGCCA